rnacentral:rRNA from 1 species
GGGAGGGGGGGCUAGCGUUGUUCGGAAUUAUUGGGCGUAAAGGGCGCGUAGGCGGCUUUGCAAGUCGGAGGGUGAAAUCCCUCGGGCUCAACCGGGGAACUGCCUCCGAAACUGCAGAGCUUGAGUCCCCGGAGAGGAUAGCGGAAUUCCCAGUGUAGCGGUGAAAUGCGUAGAUAUUGGGAGGAACACCAGUGGCGAAGGCGGCUAUCUGGACGGGUACUGACGCUGAGGCGCGAAAGCGUGGGGAGCAAACAGGAUUAGAUACCCUGGUAGUCCACGCCGUAAACGAUGGGCACUUGGUGUUGCGGGUAUCGACCCCUGCAGUGCCGAAGCUAACGCAUUAAGUGCCCCGCCUGGGGAGUACGGUCGCAAGGCUG